rnacentral:rRNA from 1 species
AUGAGAACAAAGUGUGGACUUCGGUGGACUUGCCCAAUAAUCGGCAAGCCAUUGAGAAUAAAUGGAUCUUUAAAAGGAAGACGGACACUGAUGGUAGUGUUACUAUCUACAAAGCUCGACUUGUCGCAAAAGGUUUUCGACAAGUUCAAAGGUGUUGACUACGAUGAGAUUUUCUCACCCGUAUCGAUGCUUAAGUCUGUCCGGAUCAUAUUAGCAAUUGCCGCAUUUUAUGAAAUCUGGCAAAUGGAUGUGAAAACUGCAUUCCUUAAUGGAUUUCUUAAAGAAGAGUUGUAUAUGAUACAACCAGAAGGUUUUGUCAAUCCUAGAGGUACUAACAAAAUGUUCAAGCUCCAGCGAUCCAUUUAUGGACUGGUGCAAGCAUCUCAGAGUUGGAAUAUACGCUUUGAUGAGUUGAUCAAAGCAUAUAGUUUUAUACAAACUUCAGUGAAGCCUGUAUUUACAAGAAAGUGA